CCAGUGUGCAAGCAUAGGGGC
rnacentral:piRNA from 1 species